rnacentral:rRNA from 1 species
AUACGGAGGAUGCAAGCGUUAUCCGGAUUUAUUGGGUUUAAAGGGUGCGUAGGCGGUUUGCUAAGCGGGAGGUGAAAUGCCGGCGCUCAACGUCGGAAGUGCCUCCCGAACUGGUGGACUUGAAUGACUCUGCCGUGGGAGGAAUGUGUAGUGUAGCGGUGAAAUGCUUAGAGAUUACACAGAACACCGAUUGCGAAGGCAUCUCACGAAGGGUUGAUUGACGCUGAGGCACGAAAGCGUGGGGAUCAAACAGGAUUAGAUACCCUGGUAGUCCACGCAGUAAACGAUGAUGGCUAACCGCUGGGCUUAUCAGUUCAGUGGCCAAGCGAAAGCGAUAAGCCAUCCACCUGGGGAGUACGACCGCAAGGUUGAAAAUCAAAUGAAUUGACGGG